rnacentral:rRNA from 1 species
GAUGAACGCUAGCUACAGGCUUAACACAUGCAAGUCGAGGGGUAGCAGGGUAGCAAUACCGCUGACGACCGGCGCACGGGUGAGUAACACGUAUCCAACCUUCCCAUAACUCGGGGAUAGCCAUUCGAAAGAAAGAUUAAUACCCGAUAGUACUUUUUCAAGGCAUCUUGCGAAAGUUAAAGACUGAUCGGUUAUGGAUGGGGAUGCGUUACAUUAGAGAGUUGGUGAGGUAACGGCUCACCAAGUCUUCGAUGGAUAGGGGUUCUGAGAGGAAGGGCCCCCACAGUGGUACUGAGACACGGACCAAACUCCUACGGGAGGCAGCAGUGAGGAACAUUGGUCAAUGGGCGAGAGCCUGAACCAGCCAAGUAGCGUGAAGGAUGAAGGUCCUAUGGAUUGUAAACUUCUUUUAUAGUAGAAUAAAGUGAUCCACGUGUGGAUUUUUGUAUGUAUACUAUGGAUAAGGAUCGGCUAACUCCGUGCCAGCCGCCGUCGUAA